rnacentral:misc_RNA from 1 species
UUUUAGGGAGACCCACCUGUCGGAAUUAAAAAUUCAAAAUUCAAAAUUCAAAAUUAUUGAAUCAGACAGGUCAUCCCAGGUCGGUCGAGGUUGAUGCUAUUGGCUUUCAAACUUUUACUUGGUUCAAGUCGAAGAGUGUGGUAUAACCACCCAUGAACAAGUUCGGUUGUACCCACUGUUGAGGGGCGAAUGAGCUAGUACAUUAGUAUUAUUGAAAUUGAACCAAGUACCUCAAACUUCUUCAGCACCUUAUCUAGUAGAGCUAGAGAGAAUGCUGGAUGAGUAAUCCAGACAGAACCUUGAAAAUUACAUAGCAACUUGUUAGGUAGAAACAGUUAACAGUGAGCAGUAAUCAGUUAUCAGUGAAAAACGUGGUAACUGGUGAUUGGCAACUGAUAACUGAAUCACAGACACCAAUGUAGAAAUUGU